GAGCCCGCAAGGGUGAUGGCGUACCUUUUGUAUAAUGGGUCAGCGACUUACAUUCAGUGGCAAGCUUAACCGAUUAGGGCAGGCGUAGCGAAAGCGAGUCCGAACAGGGCGAUUCAGUCGCUGGGUGUAGACCCGAAACCAGGUGAUCUAUCCAUGGCCAGGCUGAAGGUGCGGUAACACGUACUGGAGGGCCGAACCCACUGACGUUGAAAAGUCAGGGGAUGAGCUGUGGAUAGGGGUGAAAGGCUAAACAAACUUGGAAAUAGCUGGUUCUCUCCGAAAACUAUUUAGGUAGUGCCUCGUGUAUCACCUUCGGGGGUAGAGCACUGUCAUGGUUGAGGGGUCCAUUGCGGAUUACCUCGCCAUAGCAAACUCCGAAUACCGAAGAGUGCAAUCACGGGAGACAGACAUCGGGUGCUAACGUCCGGUGUCAAGAGGGAAACAACCCAGACCGCCAGCUAAGGUCCCCAAACAUGGCUAAGUGGGAAACGAAGUGGG
rnacentral:rRNA from 13 species